AGUGAACGCUGGCGGUAGGCCUAACGCAUGCAAGUCGAACGGCAGCACAGUAAGAGCUUGCUCUUACGGGUGGCGAGUGGCGGACGGGUGAGGAAUACAUCGGAAUCUACUUUUUCGUGGGGGAUAACGUAGGGAAACUUACGCUAAUACCGCAUACGACCUACGGGUGAAAGCAGGGGAUCUUCGGACCUUGCGCGAUUGAAUGAGCCGAUGUCGGAUUAGCUAGUUGGCGGGGUAAAGGCCCACCAAGGCGACGAUCCGUAGCUGGUCUGAGAGGAUGAUCAGCCACACUGGAACUAAGACACGGUCCAGACUCCUACGGGAGGCAGCAGUGGGGAAUAUUGGACAAUGGGCGCAAGCCUGAUCCAGCCAUACCGCGUGGGUGAAGAAGGCCUUCGGGUUGUAAAGCCCUUUUGUUGGGAAAGAAAAGCAGCAGGUUAAUACCCCGCUGUUCUGACGGUACCCAAAGAAUAAGCACCGGCUAACUUCGUG
rnacentral:rRNA from 1 species